UUCUUUUGGCAGAGAUUCAGCAAAAAAUACGUCUACCAGAAGCUCCAUGAAAGCAUAAGAGGGGCCCAGCAGAUGUGCUUGUUUUUCACAAACAGCAGAAGCCUAGGUGAGACUCUGCCUCCCCUUACUGCAUGUCCAUGCAUAAAAGUAAAGGAGCAAGCAAUUAAAUACCCUCCAGCAGGGCACCAGGCUCUUCCUCUCCUCCAAGAUACGGAGGCGCUGCUGGGUGGAAUCAUAGGUGACUGAGGCCCUGAUGUUUCUGCCUGUGUCGUGAUCAUAAACCACCAUCCUGCC